GCCAGCGUGGCUCAAUUGGCAGAGCAUCGGUCUUGUAAACCGAGGGUUAGGGGUUCAAGUCCCCUCGCUGGCUCCA
rnacentral:tRNA from 1 species